rnacentral:rRNA from 1 species
CCUACGGGUGGCAGCAGUGAGGAAUAUUGGUCAAUGGGCGCGAGCCUGAACCAGCCAAGUAGCGUGAAGGAUGACUGCCCUACGGGUUGUAAACUUCUUUUAUAAGGGAAUAAAGUGAGGCACGUGUGCCUUUUUGUAUGUAUUUUAUGAAUAAGGAUCGGCUAACUCCGUGCCAGAAGCCGCGGUAAUACGGAGGAUCCGAGCGUUAUCCGGAUUUAUUGGGUUUAAAGGGAGCGUAGAUGGGUUGUUAAGUCAGAGGUGAAAGUUUGAGGCUCAACCGUAAAAUUGCAAUUGAUACUGGUAGCCUUGAGAACAGUUGAGGUAGGCGGAAUGCGUGGUGUAGCGGUGAAAUGCUUAGAGAUCACGAAGAACUCCGAUUGCGAAGGCAGCCUACUAAACUGCCACUGACAUUGAGGCUCGAAAGUGUGGGUAUCAAACAGGAUUAGAUACCCCAGUAGUC